CCCAAUUUCGGACCAAUUACUCACUCUUCAUGCCAUUCUACGACUACAUGUAUGGUACUAUGGACAAAUCUUCAGAUGUAUUAUAUGAAAAAUCACUUACAAGGCCUGAAGAAUCACCUGAUGUAGUGCAUCUCACCCAUCUCACAACACCAGACUCCAUUUAUCAUAUAAGGCUAGGUUUUGCCUCUGUGGCCUCCAAGCCAUACAUCUCCAAAUGGUACUUGAGACUAAUGUGGCCUCUAACAUCUUCGUAUAUGAUGUUGAUUUGGAUUUGUUCUCGUACAUUUGUUCUUGAAAGGAACCAUUUCAACAAACUCAAGUUACAAACAUGGGUCAUACCAAAAUAUAGGAUUCAAGUAAGAAUCAUAUUUUGUUGUUAUUUUAUUUUCUUAAUUUAUUAAUGAAUUUUGUCAUUGUUUCUUAUUUUUUUAAGAAUGAUUUAUUUCUAGUUAGUUAUUAUUCAUUGAAUCAAUUGUUGAGUGGUGUAGUACUUCUUGAAAUGGCAAAAUGAACCCAUCAACAGCUUGAUUGAAGAAGCCAUACUAGAUGCAGAGCAAAGAGGCGUUAAUGUGUUGAGUUUAGGUCUUCUCAACCAGGUAAGUUAUUACUCCUUUACCAUUUUGGUUCCAUUUUUUUUCUUCUUCUUUAGUUUCCUCCAUUCCCUUUGGUCGCUUUCAUGCAUAGAUGUAGAGACAUUAUAUGAUGAUCUGCAUCCUCGCAUCUGGAUAUUGUUCACUUUAAUCAAGUGUCACCCUUCCAUAUGAAUAUUAUCCAUUUUAAUAUAAUACUAAAAAUUGACAAGAAUAUCACAAAUUCAUUUCAUAUAGAUAUUAUUUGCUUUAACAUAAUGUUAAGAACCGAUUAAGAUAUCAUAAAUCCAUUUGAUGUGAAUAUUAUCCAUUUUAAUAUAAUACUAAGAAAUGAUGGGGAUACCACAAAUUCCUUUCAUCUAGAUAUUAUUUGCUUUAAUAUAAUGUUAAGAACCAAUUAAGAUAUCAUAAAUCCCUUUUAGUGAAUAUUGUACGCUUUAAUAUAGUAAUAGAAAUUGAUUGAGAUAUUAAAAUAUGCCAUGUGAUUAUGGUGAGAGACAGACAUCCCUUGUGAGGAGGUCCUUGCAUGUGUAAAUAUUGUUUAUUUAGGUCGCACAAAUUUAAAAUACAUUUACAUGAAACUUCUUUCUUUAAUCAAUUGGGAUAUCAUAUAUUAUGACUUUCACAAGAAGAUCUUGGAUUGAUAGAAGCUUGGACUAUCUUUUAUUGAACCAACUUUAGAUUGUUAUACACCUGAAAUGCACUUAGAUAACCUAUUUUCAUUCGCAUCCCCUAUUUUCAUUAUAAGGAAAGUAAAUCUUUGAUGACUAGAAGAGAAUUGUUGUGCCUAUAAAUAAUUUUACCAUUUUGGUUUAUAGUUUAUAUAUGAUUAAUUCACUCAUUUCCUUCUUUCAUAUUGAGCCCUCCAGCAAUUCAUCAUCCAUAUUUGAAAAGUUUUAGUUCAAAAAUAAAUUUUUAUUUAAUUAAUUAAAAAAUUAUGCAGGGUGAAGAGCUUAAUAUAUAUGGUGAGCUUUAUAUCCAUAGAAAUCCUAAGCUCAAAAUCAAGGUGGUGGAUGGGAGCAGCUUAGCAGUAGCCGUUGUUUUGAACAGCAUUCCAAAAGGAACCACUCAAGUACUCUUCCGAGGCAAGCUCUCCAAGGUUGCUUAUUUCACAGCCCUUGCUUUGUGCCAAAAGGGCAUCCAGGUAUUUUUAAUAUAAAUGGAAAAAUGUUAUUAAAAUUUGAAUGGUGCUUCAUAUAUGUAUCCCUACUUCAUCACCUACUUAUAUCACUAGCAAAAACUAACUUUUUUAAUUAAUGUCAAACAACAACUACCGUUUUACCUGUUCAAUCCUAGUUUUGAUUUAUAUUGGAAUACAAUUGAAAUAAUUCUUAGGUGGCUACUUUCCAUGAGGAAGAGUACGCGAAGAUCAAUAUGAAGCUGAACACCAAAUUGGGAGGCAAAUUGGCUCUUUCAAAAAAUUAUGCUCAUAAGGUAAAAUCCCUUCUUUCAUCCUUCUAUAUAUCUUAUUCUUUUUCUUUUUAUUUUCUAUAAUCUUCCUUAAUGCUUACCAUUGAAAACUUCCUUUUUAAUUAGUGUAUUCAUUGAGAAAAACUUUUUGUUUAAUGAUAGGCUAAUGAACAAAGAACUAUUAUGAUGAAGUUAACAUAAUUAAGCAUUGGAGAAUUUACAGGCUAAUGAACAAACAACCCACCACCAUUUUCUCAUUUCUUUUUUCUUUUCUUUCUUUUUUUUUUUUUUUUUUUGGGAAAAAAAUGGACUUAGCAUUAAAGAUGUUUGAGAUAUAGUAGUGAAAUAUUGUACAGAUAUGGUUGGUUGGAGAUGGCUUGACCAAAGAAGAACAGUUGAAGGCACCAAAAGGAACUCUAUUUAUUCCCUUUUCUCAGUUCCCUCCAAAGAGAAUGCGCAAAGAUUGCUUCUACCACACCACGCCAGCAAUGAUGUCUCCCACUUCUUUUGAGAACAUGGAUUCUUGUGAGGUCAGUCAAUAUUAUUAAUUUCAAAGAUAACAAGCAAUAUUAUAUAUUAGUACAAAAGUUAAUUUUAAGCAUAAUGACACGGUUCCAUACAAUUUUGGUUUAUGAAAAUAUUUAUCUAAAUGCAGAAUUGGCUGCCAAGAAGAGCAAUGAGUGCAUGGCGUGUGGCUGGAAUAUUGCAUGCAUUAGAAGGAUGGAAUGUGCACGAGUGCGGUCACGCCAUAUUCGAUAUUGAGAAGAUUUGGGAAGCCAGUCUUCAACAUGGAUUUCGUCCUUUAAUGAUUCCCUCUUAAUGAUUAAGACAACUUUAUUUAUUAGGUUUUCUAUUUGGUGCUAGUAUCUGGAAUGCUAUAUGUUAUGGUUCAUGUCAUAUGAACUCCAUCUAUCUUUAAGUAUGCAUGAUAUGAUAUUCCAAGUCUUAUUGAUUAUCAUCCUAUGUUGUUAAUUUACUCUUUUUUUUCUAAUUAUAUAUAGAAGUUGAAAAAAAAUUAUAGUGCAUGUAUCAAGUUUCGAAGUUGGGAUUAUGAAUUGUAUUUGAAGUAUAUUUCAUUUGACUCUUGUAUUAAGUCAAAAUUGUGGGUCAUUUGUGUUAUAAUUGAGAUAUUGUUAAGUUAAAAUAUUUUAAUUUUUUUAAAUAGACUUUUAUUUUAAAAAUAUAUAUAUAUAAAAAUUAGAAAUUGCUUUAAAAAUAUUAUUUCUAAAAAACAAUUUUACAAAAAAAAACGCUAAGACAUGUGAGAACCAAUUAGCAACCGUCAUAAUGUCACCUUAUCUUACUACAAAGCAUUAAUUAUGAUUAGAACACUACCAUCAUUAUCUUAAAGCAUAGAUCAACCUUGAGCGCAAGACCACCACCACCACCACAAAGGAAGCCCAACCCAAGGGAUGGUCAAAACACUUUAGCAUAACUACCAAACCCCAUAUUUAACCACUAAAUGGUCAAAGCAUUAAAGAGAAAAAUAUUCAAGUCAUUAAAAUAUGCUAAGUAACCAACUCUUUCAGUACCAUAGAAAGAACAAUUAUAAAAGGGGAAUUCUUUGUACCAUAAACAUUUCCAUAACCCACUAAGUAAAGAACAAUUAUCAAAAAAGGAAUUCCACUAAGAAUGAGGUACCCACAAAAAAAAUGAAUCAUUCUUUUUAUCUAUUUACCCUUUUUAUCAUUAACUUGAUAGCAGAGAGAGGUUGGUGUUAGGGUAUUAUGUUUUGUUUUUGUUGUUGGCAAUUUUGUUCCUUUUUAUUCUUGCAUAGGAUCUUUUUAGACAUCGACUUACACUCCAUCAAGGAGGAAAAUGUCGGGAUAUAUCGAUGAUAUAUCGUGUAUCGGAAGACAUCGACACGAUAUUUUGUGGAGAAAAAUAGUUGAAAAUCGACAAAAAAUCGUCAAUAUAUCGCUAAUAUAUCAACAUCAGAAAAAAACGACCAAAAAGGAAUAAAAUCGCCGAUAUUUCAACCGGUCAACGCGCUACAGGGCACUCUCAAAAAUGCCUUUUUUUUGUGUUGUUGAAGGGAUUUGAACCCCAAACAAAAGGUUUGGGGUUCAACUCAUCAGACCACCAGGGCAAGCUUGCCCUUUGUUAAUGUAGUGCACUUAAAAUAUAUAUUUAAAGUCAUCAUGUAAAGAAAAUUUUAGAGAGCAAAUUAAUUAUAAUUAUUUUAUAAUUAAAUACAAAAAUUUCUUUUUAUUGAUUACCAAAAAUAUAAAAAUUAUCAUAAUAAUUUUCUUCAUAGUGUUUUUAAUAUCUUUAAUAAAUUAAUUAAAUAUUAAAAAAAUUGUACAUAUAUCAUAAUUUAUUUUAUAUCAUUUAAUACAAUUGAAUUAAAUGGAUCAUAAUUUUAAUAUUAAUAUAUAUUUUUAAGUUAGACAUAUUAUAAUCAAAUAUCAUAAUAUUAUUAUGAAAUAAUAUUUGAUGUAAUUUAAUAAUAAAUGUACACUUAUAAAAUUCAUAUUUUUAUCGAUGCACACGAUAUUAUUAUUAAAUAUGAUAAAUCAUAUUAUACAUAUAUCAAAUUCUUUAAUAAAACAACUUUAAAAUAUCUAUUAUAUUUCUAAUUACAUUUUUAUGAAGUUUUUCUUGUAUUUUUAUAAAUUUUGAUCAAUUUUAGGUUUAUCGAUAUUUUUUUUCAAAAUAUCCGCCGAUAUAUCUCCGACAUAUCUGUAAAAUCGAAGUACCAAUAUAUUCGUGAUUACCGAUAUUUUCAUCCUUGCUCUCCAUUGAAGAUUCGAGAUUGUCGUUUAAUCAUUUAGGUUGUCACAAGAAAGUUUGAGAAAAGACAAGUUAGCUUUUUUGAGAGCCAAUUAGCAACCGUCAUAGUGCCACCUUACCUUACUACAAAGAAUGAACUAUGAUUAGACCACAACCGUCAUUAUCUUAAAGCAUAGAUUAACCUCGAGUGCAAGACCACCACCACAAAGGAAGCCUAACCCAAGGGAUGGUAAAAACACUUUAACAUAACUACCAAACCCCGUAUUUAGCCACUGCACGGUUAAAGCAUUAAAGAGAAAAAUAUUGAAGUCAUUAAAAAAUGCUAAGUAACCAACUCUUUCAAUACCAUAGAAAGAAAAAUUAUAAAAGGGGAAUUCCACAAAGAAUAAAGUACCACAAACAUUUCCAUAACCCACUAAGUGAUUAGAGCCUCAAAUUAUGCUCUAAUGGCACAUAUAGAAAGGGGUUAUGCAAAUGUAAAGGCUCAAUUCACCCAACUUAAUUUGAAUUUUUGUUAAGACCCUAGCCAUGCAUCUAACAUAUAUCUUGAGCUAAAUCUUAGGUUUAAAGAAUAAAAAGGAUGCAAGUUGGAGAAGUCAUUUUCACUCAUGGUAGAAAAGAAACUAAACAUGCUUAGAAUAAGCUCCAAGAGUGUGAGGCAUGAUGAAAAUUUUGACAAAUGAAAGUAAAUCAAUUCAUAGCAUGAGAGAUAAGAAAUGAAGCUUAUGGAAAGAGUUAGAGAGCAAGCCAACACGAGAAAGAAGGUUGAAGGAUAUGGCUUAAAGUUCAUACAUUCCAAUUGGAACUCAAAUUCUAAUAGCAACAUAUAUUAUGAUUUUGAGGUGAUAUUUAGAGUACCCAUUGAGGUCAUUUUUUUACAUGCUCUAUAUCGUUUCAAAGCUUGAGAAUCCAAGAAUUCAAAUCUUCAAAUGGUGUGUAAAUCGGAGUUGAAACGAGGAAGAUAUGGAUGAUUGAAGAGAACUACGCAAAGAGGAAUCAAAGGUGUCAAUUUCGCAUGAUUGUGAGAAACGGACCAAAUAGAUUGUUUUUGCAGUAGCAUGGAAAUCAGUUUCGCAUGAACAUGUGACUUUUUGCACAACCAUGCCAAAUGAUCUAAAAUGAUGUUAGAAUGCUAUCAAUCCAUUUAUAUUUCGCAUGAUCAUGAGAAAUGGAUCAUCCUUAUGCGAAAUCAACAUCUUUUCAUUGAAGUCUCCCAUGACUCAAAUUUUUACAACUUUUAUUGAGAGCCCUUGAUUUGUAAAGAAGAUUUUAUAUACUCUCUAAGAUCUUGCUAUGUGUCAACUUAACUUUUAGUCUAUAAAUAGGCGUGGACCCACAUUUCUCACGUGUGCCCCCACUCGACCAGCGAGACUCACUUUUAAUUGGUGAAAAUUUUAGUUUUGGAAAAAUUAGAGUCGCUACUUAUUUUAUUUUUAUUUUAAAGGUAAAAUAAAAUAAGAAAGAAAACCCCUAAAAAAAUGACUCCAUAGUUUUGAAAAAACAUGUCUUUGAAAAACCCGAGCCUGGGUCCGGGGAUCAGGUUACCUAUUAGAAAGGUACCUCUAAGAGUUAGCACCCCUCUAAGCCCUAUAAAGGUCUCUACUAACUAAGUUGAGGGGAAUGUGACAAUUAAUAUGUUGAUUGAGGGUAUCUAGGUUGACUAAGGUGAUUUCCAAAAAAUAACAUGCUAAAUAAGAAAACCAAUUACAAAUCAGAAAAAAAAUUUUGAGUGUGUACCUGGACUGCUUCUUAUGAGCUAUCAUAAGACACCAAAGUUAGUUCAAAUAAUAUAUCAUCCAACAUGCGCUUUAUCAUAAAUAAUUGAACAAUGAAACAAAUAUCAAGAUACCCAAGCACUAUCGAUCAUAGGCAUAGUUCACAAUGACAAGCAUAUUCACUAAAUUUAGAAGGUGGGCGUUAGGGGGCGUACCUGGAUAGCAUAGAUAACUUAUAAUACGCUUCCAUAAGACAUGAGGGGUUAGAUAAUAAUAAAAUAAAGAAAUCCUAGCAUGCUUGUUAUCUAAUUAGCAUAGCAAAAAUUAUCAAAGUAUACGAAAACAUCAAUUAUCACACACAUCUUGUAUACAAUUCCUAAAAAAUUUGAUGAUUUUGAUUAUAGAAAGUAGCUAAAGUGGUAGGAAAGAUGAGUUUUAGAAAAAUUAUUUUAUGUUGGGGUCCCAUCAAGUCCCCAGUUAAUAUUCACAAAUUUAACCUGUGUAUUCCCAUUAGCUUGUGAACACAAGCUCAAACCUAUGUUGAGAAAAUAAAGUUUUGGAAACUGGGAAAAAUGAGUACAAUUAGGAUAAAACUAAGUUGCAUAUUUUUAUUUUUAUUUUUAAAAAAGUGAGAUCUUUGCGCUAAAUUCCUAGAAUGGAUUUUUAUUAUUAUUUUUUUUAAAAAUUGUUAAAAGAUUUAAAUUCAUUUGAGAAUGAUUUUAGAAAAGCAAAAGGAACCAUGUGAUUUGAUAAAUCCAUAACAUAGGACACAAAAUGAAGAUUUUUCUUUUCAUUCCUAAUUUAAAAGGGUUUUUAAAACAAAAGAAUAUCAACUUGGAUCUCUUUAUUGGCUACCCUUUCAUUUGGGAUCUAGGAGCCACAUCAUUGAUGGAGAAUAUUCAUUUUUUUGAAAGAAAAGAAGUUAUUUUGACUUCAUUCGAGAUGCCCAUUUAAAAGAGCUAUUUUCUUAAUAAAAAAGUUUGAGUUCAAGACUUAAAAGAGUUCAAUUAAAAAAUAACUAGAAUUGUCGACUUGAAAACAUGGCAAAAAAUUUAACUAAAACCUAAAUUCUAAAAACUAAAUGGAUUCAAUCAAAAUAAAAAGUUAUCAAUUUGAAGAUGUGACAAAAAUUUGACUAAAACUAAGAUUCUAAAAUAAAAAAUAAAUUAAUAAACAAAUGAGGUCAAUCCAACUAAAAGAAACCACUAAGAGGAGACAUAGAUUUAACUAAAACAAAAAUUCUAAACAACUUAAUAAUUGAAAAAAAAAAUUGGUGCACUCUUAUUUAAAAAUCUGGUGGCUUUCUCAAGGAUUUUGGUGUUCUCUCAUAAAAAAAAAAAAAACUGAUGGCUAUCUCACUUAAAGAAAAAUUUUGGUGCACUCUUAUUUAAAAAUCUAGUAGCUUUAUCAAGUAUUUUGGUGCUCUCUCAUAAAAAAAUCACUUAAAAAAAAUUUUGGUGCACUCUUAUUUAAAAAUCUGGUAGUUUUAUCAAGUAUUUUGGUGCUCUUUCAUAGAAAAAUUUGAUGGCUAUACCAUUUAAAGAAAAAUUUUGGUGCACUCUUAUUUAAAAAUUUGGUAGCUUUAUCAAGUAUUUUGGUGCUCUCUCAUAGAAAAAUUUGAUGGCUAUAUCAUUUAAAGAAAAAUUUUGGUGCACUCUUAUUUAAAAAUCUUGUGGCUUUCUCGAGGUUUUUGGUGCUUUCUCAUAGAAAAAUAUGGUGGUUAUAAAUUUCAUUCUACACCAACUCUGAUUUUAAAACAAUAUCAGUCCACAUUUUUUAUUUCAAAAUAGCUUGACAACAACCCAUAUUUCAUGGAUAAAUCAUCUUAUAUUCGAUCAAAGAUGCAACCCAGAUUUUUAAUAAUAACCAACCUUGAUUCUAAGCUAAUCCAACCCGAAAAGCUUACCCAAUAUCAACCUAAAUGCUUGGCUAAAUAAAAUUUAGACAUGUCUCAAAAUGCAAUCCAAAAUGUUGGUUAAGUUCAAUCAAGUUCUCAGAAAAACAAAGCUUGGAAUUAGACAUUAUGAAAUGUUAACACAAUUAAUCAAGGAUUCUUAAAUCUAAAAUACUAUCACACAACUGAAGGAAUAUAAAAAAAAAAUUGAAAUAAAAAAUAAAUAUAAUCCAUCAAAGUUCUAAAAAUAAUCAAAACUUAAAAUUGAAAAUAACUAACAAACUAAUGUGUUCAAAAUUUACCUUUGGUAGAGGAAAAGAAAAGGUUGUUGUUUGGCUCCUUUGUUGGUGCAGCUCCUUGAUGCAGUAUCACUUUCCGAAACUUUUUUGGUGUGCCCCACCUCUCUUUUGAAACACGGACUGAUCCUCUUUGAAAACAGCAUCCCCGAAUCACUCUUAAACAUGGACUGAUUCUCUUUGAAAACAGCAGCCCACUCUUCUCCUCUGAAAAACGGACUGAUCCUCUCUGUGAAAAUCACAACCUCACCCCUUCAAAACACGGACUGAUCACUCAAACAUCAGCCCCAAAAAUGCUUUUUCAAAACACGGACUAAUCACUCAAAUAGCAACCCCAAAAUCCCCUCUGAAACGUGGACUAAUUUCCUCUAAACAGCAACCUUAAAUGCCCCUUUAAAACACGGACUGAUCACUCAAACAACAGCUGUCAUGCCCCAAGACCCACUCCAAGGGCAUGACGGUCAUUUCACACCUCAAACCCGAAGGCUUAAAGUAUAAUCUAACCCAAACAAUCAUAUUGUAACUGGAUGUUACCAAUUACCAAAUACCUGUUCAGAGUAGCGGAACAAAAUCUAAAAUCCUCAAAAUUCAAUUUCCAAACUAAAACAUCCACUAUCCAAAAUCCAUUGUCUGAAUAUUUGCAAACUUAAACAAUUCAAGUACUAGAACAAAUUUCAAAAUCUCCAAAACUCAACUUUGAUCUAACAUAAAAUUUGAAUGAUCAAUAUCCAAAUAACUUCCAAAUACCAAAGGAUCCAAAUGAACAUAACUAACAGUUAAACAAAAUCCAACAUAAAAUCCUAAGUCAAAUCCUAAUGAUGACCAUUCCUCAGCCUAGCUAUCACUCCUCACCCGAACUAAGAGUACCUGAAAAAUUUUCAACAAUUGGGAAUGAGCUCAUAGCCCAAUAAGGAAUAUUAAUGCAGUUCAUGGAUCAAAUAUCUUCAUUUCAAAUAAGAGAUAUCAUUUUUUUUUUCAUCAAAUAUCAGAGUUUCAAAAAUACCAAUAUAUUCAAAAUUCAACCAACCAUUUUCAUAUCAAAUUCAAACACUUUCACAUAAGAUUCAAUCAAAUCCAUUCAAUUUUCAUUACUCUGAUUAUCAAAUAUCAAAUGCCCAGUUAGGUGGGACUUUUCAAAUGGUUGGCUAGCCUCAAAUUGUUCCUGGUGGACGGAACCAAACACUACUAGUACUAGUAACCUCUAACCAAACCCCUAGAGGCUGGGGUCCAAAUCAAUUACAUUCCCACCAUGAAAUGUAAAGGUCAACUAUUAUAUCCCGUUGACAGGGCCGAAUAGUCAACUAUUAUAUCCCGUUGACAAGGGCCAAAUAAACCAGAGUGAUGUUUUUGUUCAAGCAUUCAAAUUUACACAACAUAAUAUCUCCAUAUCUUGUGUCAUAAAUAAAACAAAAUAUUCCAACAUAAUAUUUAGUGCAAAACAAUUUGAUCCAUGCAUGGUAACAAAAUAUCAUUUUCUUUUCCACAAUUCAAAAUAACAUAUAAAAUAAUUUAAUUUUAUAAAUAUUGCAUUAACUUCCCUUACCUCAAAAGAAGUCCUCAAAAACUUUGGAGAAAAAUAAUCCUGAAAAUCUACUCUUCACCUAACAAAUAUAAGAGAAAUAACAAUUACUAUUUAUCUAAAAUUACAGGUUUGUCAAUCCUAAAAUUUUAGGUAUUCAAAUUAAUAUUUUUAAUUAUGAAAGAUAAUUUAAUCUAUUCAUAAUUUUUUUUAAAAAAUUAAUAAAUUUUUAAUUCAUAUAAAACUUAAUUUAUUUAUUUAUUUUUUUUUUGGGGACACAACUUAAUUUAAUUAAACUAUAAUUUAUUUCACUAAUUAAUUUCUAUGUUAUUUAUUAACUUAUACUCAUCAUCAGUAUAAUUAUAAUAUCAAAAAAAACUUUACUUUCUUUUAUUUAAAACUUCUAUUCUCUCUUUUUUUUUUUUUUUUUUUAAACAUAAACUUUAUUCCCAACAAUACUCCAUUAUUACCAACAAACAAUAGACAUAUAUAUAUAUAUAUAUAUAUAUAUAUAUAUAUAUAUAUAUAUAUAUAUAUAUAUAUAUAUUAACUAACAACACUCUUCAUCCAUCCGUACACACACCCACAACCCAUAUAUAUAAUAUAUUAUUUUUUUCAUUCUCCAAUUCCAGUGAGCACAAGCGUCCUCUAUUUUUUUCUUUUAAUCCUCAAGCCAUUCUCCAAUUCUACGGUGUGCACACGCGUCUUCCAGGUUUUUUUUUUUUUUUGUUCCUAAAAGCUUAAGAAUUUCCAAUUUCCAAUAAUAAAUCAAAAUCUUAAAUUUUCACUAUUUUGAUAUUAAAACGAAAUAAAAAUAAUAAUAAUAAUAAUAAACUAACCCUAAUCUAAAUCGAAAUCUUCACAGGAAUUUUUUUUUUUUCUAAUAAAAAAAAAACUUAAGAUCUCCCCAAUUCCAAUAAUAAAUCAAAAUCUUAAAUUUUCACUAUUUGAUAUUAAAACGAAUUAAAAAAAAUAAUCUAACCCUAAUCUAGAUUUGGGGUUUUCCAAAAAAAUAUAUCUAAUGUGCUUGAAAUUAACUAAUGAAUUUAAAAUAAUAAUCUAGGGGUUAGAAACUUACCUAUAGAGGUUUGUUCUUCAAACCUUGAAAUCUGACCUCAACUUCACGUUCUCUGGAAACUCUCUGCGAACAGGAAUACGAUUCAAAAAAGAACAGGAAGAAGAGAAUUUUCUAUUUAUACCUAGGGUAUUAUUUGUAAAAUUACCUUUUCACCCCUCUUCUAUUUUAUUAAAUUAAUUAAUUAAUUAAUUUAAUAUCAUUAUUAAGAAUUUCCUAAAUUACCCUUUAAAAAGAAAACUUGGGCAUUACAACAGCCUCAAAAAUGCUCUCUGAAACAUGGAUUGAUCACUCAAAUAGCAGCCCCAAAAUCCCCUCUGAAACAUGGACUAAUUUCCUUCAAACAACAGCCUAAAAAAAUCCUUUAAAACACGGACUGAUCACUCAAACAGCAGCCCCAAAAAGGAUCUCUGAAACGUGGAUUGAUCACUCAAAUAGCAGCCCCAAAAUCCCCUCUAAAACGUGGAUUAAUUUCCUCCAAACAGCAGCCUCAAAAAAUCCUUUCAAAACCCGAACUGAUUCCUCCAAUUCUCCAUAAAAAUCAGUCUCACUUCUUCUCUGAAAUGUAAACUGAUUUCCUCCAAAUAGCAACCUCAAAAAAAGCCUUUCAAAACCCGAACUGAUUCCUCCAAUUCUCCAUAAAAAUCAACCUCACUUCUUCUCACUUCUUCUCUGAAACAUAGACCGAUUUCCUCCAAACAGCAGCCUAAAAAAAAAUCCUUUCAAAACCAAGACUGAUUCCUCCAAUUCUCGAGAAAAAUCAAUCUCACUUCUUCUCUAAAACAUGGACUGAUUUCCUCCAAACAGUAGCCUCAAAAAAAUCCUUUCAAAACCCGGACUGAUUCCUCCCAUUCUCUAGAAAAAAAUCAGCCUCACUCUUUCUUUCUCCUCUGUACCUUCUCUCAACGUGCACCCUCACUCCCCAUGGUGUAACUGCACCAUUUCUUCUCUUUUGAAUCGUGUCUCUUCCUUUUCAUACCACCUUCUUCCCUUUUUCUUUUUUUGAACACAACCACACUUCCUGUCCACAUACACACUGCACCCUUUCCUUUCACUUGCCAAAACCCAACCUUCUUAAUCUUCUUCCCAUAAUCAUCCAUUCCCAUAAUCAUCUUUUUCAAUAAUCUUUUUUCCAAUAUGGAGUAUGUAAAAUCCCGGGCAACAAAACAAAAAAUAAAAAAUAAAAAAAUAGAAAAAUAAGGGUUAGAAUAAUAAAAAAAAAACAUGUAACUAAUAAUUAAAAAUCCAAAUUAUGUAAUUUUAAACGAAAUUAAAAAUAUAGAUCACAUGCAUAACUAAAAUGAAUUAUCAACUCAAGCAACUCUCUAUCAAAAUAAAUUAAUAAAUAAAUAAAUAAAAAUGAAAUGAAUAUGAUUAUUAAGCUCAUGCAAUUUUCUAAAAAUAAAUAAAUGAAUAAAACUAAUAAAUAGAUAAAGAUAAAAAAAAAAAAAAAAAACAAAAACAAAAACAAAAUCAAGCACAUGCAAGUCAUACGAGUUAUGCAACCAUGCAAGCCAUGCAAACCAUGCCCACGCAAAAAAUGAUCUAAAGGGGCCUAGGGUGCCUAAAUGGGCCUAGGGUGCUUAAAUGGACCUAGGGUGCCUAAAUGGGCCUAAGUGCCUAAAUGGGCCUACGAUGCCUAUAUGGCCCUAAGGUGCCUAAAUGGGCCUAGGGUGCCUAAAUGGACCUAAGGUGCUUAAAUGGGCCUAGGGUGCCUAAAUAGGCCUAGGGUGCCUAAACGGGCCUACGGUGCCUAAAUGAACCUAGGGUGCCUAAAUGGACCUAGGGUGCCUAAAGGGCCUAAGAUGCCUAUGUGGCCCUAGGAUGCUUAAAUGGGCCUACAGUGCCUAAAUGGGCCUACGAUGCCUAUGUGGCCCUAGGGUGCCUAAAUGGGCCUAGGGUGCCUAAAUGGGCCUAAGGUGCCUAAAUGGGCCUAAUAUGCCUAUGUGGGCCUAGGGUACCUAAAUGGGUUUAGGGUGCCUAAAUGGGCCUAGGGUGCCUAAGUGGGUCUAGGGUGCCUAAAUGGGCCUAGGGUGCCUAAGUGGGCCUAGGGUGCCUAAGUGGGCCUAGGGUGCCUAAAUGGGCCUAAAGGGCCUAAGUGGGCUUAAGGUGGUGCCUAAUGGGCCUAAGCGGUGCCUAAUGGGCCAAGUGUGUCUAAUGGGCCUAGAGUGUACUAAGUCUAAAUAGAGUUGCCAAGAGUCACAAUGGGGUUAUGUAAAUCCCUCAACCAAAGUCUCUAAGGUGGCUUAAAAAAAUAGGCUACACGAGUAGCAAUGGGCCACCAGGAAAUUGCUGUAAAGUAUCAAACAAAUACAUAAUAGGACAUGUGCUAGGAGAACAAAAUGGGGGGUCUACUAUAGGGCAUUAGAGUUCUUUUUUUGGGGGGUUCGGGAAUUAUUAGAUGUUCUUGGAUUUUCUUAGGGAGAGAAAAAAAAAACAUUAAAGAUUCUCGAUUUGUUUUCUUUAUUUUAAUUAAUUGUUUCUAAUUUCUUUUUAUUCAAGAAUGGUUCUUUAUUCUUCUUUUAUGGAUAGUGUGAAUGAAAUCACCACCAUGAGAGGCUAAAAAGUCAUCUUGGGGAGUGAAACCUGAAAACCUAGGGUUAGAGCUAAGGGAAAACAAUGGAUAAAAUCGAACUAAAAAUGGGAUGAAUGAAGGGUUAAGGCAUAAUAGAUGAAAAUAGAAAUAUCCUCCAAUGUUAGUUUGAAUUAGGGGGUGGUACAAUAGCCCAUUCCUUGAAACUAGGGAUUCUUGGUAAUUCUUUAUCCCUAGUUAUCUGAGGUUUUGUUAUUGUUAUCUAUCCUAUGAAAAAUCUACAUAGAGUGGUAAAGGCCUAACUUCUAGACCUAAACCCAAUUUUCAUACCCAUUCAUCUAUUUGGUAUUUCAGUAAUGGAAUAAAAUAUUAAAAGUUAGGAUAUGGAUGCAACCCUGAGUUGUGGAACUCAAGUUGAUCUUGUUUAAUCCCACAUUUUGAAUACCCUAAGACUAAUCAAAAUUGAUACCCAAUUGUGGAACCCCCGAUCUUGAAUCAUUUGAAUUAGAAAUCAAUCAUUCUUUUGCAAUUUAUUUAAGAUUUAUUUUAUUAAAUUCAAUUUUGUUCAAAUCAAAUGUUUAUUUUUUCUAAUUCAAGAAUUUAGCAAAAAGCAAUCUUUUAGACCUAGUUUAACAACUUCCAUAGGUUAGUCCUUAAGGACAAUACCAGGAGUACUAUAAAAGAAGUAGUGACUCUUUUUUCAGUUUUUCUUGGCCAGAGUUGCUAUGUAAUUUAGGCUUGGUAUUUUGGACAACAGAGAAUUGUGGCCACUAAGUAAAGAACAAUUAUAUAUAUAAAAAAAAAGAAUUCCACUAAUUAAGAAUGAGGUACCUACAAAAAAAAUUAUAUAAAAAAUAAUUAUUUUGAUUUGUUUACCCUUUUAUCAUUAACUUGAUAGUGGAGAGAGGUUGGUGUUAGGACAUUAUGUUUUGUUUUUUUUGUUGGCAAUUUUGUUCCUUUUUAUUUUGGCAUAAGAUCUUUUUAGACAUCGACUUACUCUCCAUUGAAGAUUCAAGGUUCUCGUUUAACCUUUCCAUGUAAAAAACCUCUUGUCUCUUGUGUGAUAGAUUGUCAUUGAUUAUUUCUAAUUUCUUACAUAGUUUAAUUGAGUUAAAUAGGAUUAACUAAUUCUCAAAGGUUUAAUUGGAUUAAAAAUCUUAAUUAUUAUAUUAAAAUCUUUGGAACACACUCAUUCAAUCUCCCCAGGUGUUACCCUAUUGAAGAUGAAAACUUCUAUAGUUUACCCCAAGAAUCCAUUAGAGAUAUCCUUGAGAUAAUGGAUAAGACUAUGGAUACCCCUAAAAACAUCCCUGAAAAGGUGGUUGACCCCAAUAGAGAUAAAAAGCCACUUGAAGUUGCUAAGCCAAAUGAAGUGAGUACUAGAAAUAAAUCCAAAGUACCAAAAAAUUACCAUAUCUCAAAUAUAAUAGGAAAUAUGAAUGACUCCAUGGUAACAAUGAGACAAUCAAGACACAAUAAAAUAUGCUUCUUUUGUUAUACCUCCCAAUUAGAGUAAGAAAAUGUGGAGAAAACUCUAGGAGAUGAAUCUUGGACUAUCGCACUAUAGGAAGAGUUAAAUCAGUUGAUUUUGUUUAUAUCAUUUUCCACAUACUAUUUUACCUUAGGUAUUUAUGUUUGGCAUGUGUAGGUUACAAAUAUAGGGAUAUUUUGUACUAUUGGAUUGUCCUUUGCAUAUAGUCGAUUGAAUAGGUUUAGACAAGUGUUACUAAGUGUUAUGUAAACUCCGUUUGAAAGUUUUGGGGGGGUUUAUGUAACUUUGUUUUGUCACAAAAUUGCCAAAGGGGAAGAUUUUUAGGACAGUAUGUUUUGCUUUCAAAUUUGGCAAUUUUGUUCCUUUUUAUUCUGGCAUAGGAUCGUUUUAAACAAUAAUUUACUCUCCAUUAAAGAUUCAAAGUUGUUGUUCAAAUCAAUCGAACAAUCACAAUUAAGUCUGAAAAGUUUAAUUAAAGGUAAGUUAGCUUUUUUGAGAAGGUAGGAUUGGAUCAGAAGUUUUAAAAUUGAACUAAAAUGUCUUAAUUAACUUUUGGAAAGUUGAGAUUUUAUCUUGUAAAAAAUUCUAUUUCUGACCCCUAGGCUCUUAGGCCUAUACACACCUUUCUUAAAUGUGUUUUAGGAUUGGAUGCUCUCAUUUAGAAAAUACUAACUUUCCCUACCAUUCCUAAAAGCUCUUAAAGGUUCUUUGAAUGAACUCUAGGCUGUUGAAGAGACUUACAUCCCCUCAGAGCCUGAGGCAAAUUCAUUGGAGCGCUCAAGGUGAUGAGUCGUGGAUGUGAAUCAUGAUAUAAGUGUUGGAGAGUAAGUCUUAGGCAAUGUUUGACAAGUAAAACUAUGUAUUACAAUUUCCUAUAAUGGAUUUUAGAUUUAAGAUCUUAGAUCCCAUAGUUUUUUAUCUCUACAUGUUACAUGAGGAUUUUCCAUAUAAAAAACUUCUUAUCUCUUGUGUGUUGGAUUGUCAUUGAUCAUUCCAGAUUUCUUAUAUAGAGUUUUGAUUUAAAGAGGAUUAAAUAAUUCUCAAAUGUUUAAUUGGAUUAAAAUUUUCAACUUAUAUAUUAAAAUAUUUGAAAUACACCCAUUCACCUACCCAACCCCUAGGUGUUACCCUACUAGAACAUUGGUGUUUAUAGUUGGUUUGAGCAACCUCAUCAUUUUCUCUCAAGGUUCUAAGUAUCAACUAAGUUGUAUCGGCCUAAGCGUUUUUUGCACCGAGUUCGAUACCUAAUGCCUUCUUAAACAUAGAUUCAGCUAGGAACUAAUUAAACUAGGUUGAUUUAGUGGACAUUUUGAGUUUACAUGGUUGAAUCAUAUGAGUUACCAUAAUAUUCUCAAGUUAAAUCUAGAAAUUGUUUUUUUUCCUUUUCAAAUCACAGUAAAAAAAAACACCACACAGUAACCAAAACUGAGAAAUAUUUGAAAAAUAAAAGAUUUCUCUUAAAAGGUAAAGGUUUUUAAGCAUUAUGAUCGUACCCAUGAAGAAGAAGGAAAAAAAAAAGUCGUCAUAUUACUUCAUCGAUCACUGUCGCUUUGUGUUAGUUUACCUCUCUCUACUUCAUCUUCAUCACUUUGUGCCCAUGGGUGUGUGUUGCAGAGGAGACUCCCUCCCUUUACUUAAAUAAUGCGUCAUCACCCACCCCCCCUCUCUCUCUCUCUACAUGGUGUGGCUUUGAAGAAAAAGGGAAGGGUAAUAAUUUAUUAUUUUAAAUGUUUAUGUGUGGUACAAAUUAUAUUUAUAUGCUAAUGAUUUAUUAUUUUAUAUUUAAAAAAUGUGAUAUGAAUUACAUCAAUUUACCUCAUGGUUGAUGAUGUUUGGAAUUGAGAAUUUGAAGACAAUUUCAUUCAUCAAUUGAAGACAAUAGCAUCAAUUUAUAUAACAAUUUUCUUUUUAUUAGUUUUUAAAAUUUAUUUAGUUGUACUUAUUUUUUAAAAUAAUUUUCAUCAUAUUUUUUAUACUUUUUAAGACCUUUUGAAUACAUAAAUUUGUGUAUUGCCCGAAGCCGAGCUAAGUUGCCAAGACUGAGGUGCCUUAAAACCACUCUGUCAAUUACCAAUUCAUCCGAAGGAGGACAAAUCAAACCACUCUUUUUCUUUUAAGGAACUUUCAUACAUACUCCCAACCAUUGAGUCAUUGACAUGGUGGUGUACUUAACUGACACCAUCUUAGCUUCCUAUGCAUUCAUAUUAUUUACUUAAAUAAAUUAAACUCCUUUUAACCUCACCAUAUUAUUUAUUUUUUUAGACAAUAUAUUCAAGAUAAAUAUCCUCAAAUAGAAUAUAUGCAAGAAUAAAUAUAAACUUAUUAUAUUUACUUAAAUAAAUUAUACUCCUUUUAACCUCACCAUAUUAAUUAUUUUUUUAGACAAUAGUUGAUCCAUUUCCUUUACAUUUCCAUUUGCCACCUAUCCCCUCGCUAACAUAGUAGCCAAGUGGUGUGCAAACAAGGUAAAAGUAAGAAAGGGUAGUUUAGAGAUACAUGACUUUACAAAUGCGACAAAUUUAAAAUUUGAGGUAGUAAAAUUUUUUAAAUAUUACAAUUUUUUUAUACAAUUUUUAAAAAUCAUUUUGACUAUGUUUGGUUUUAGAAAAAUGUGAGAUAAAACAUAAAGGAGAUAAAAUAGAGAGUGAAAAAAUAUGGGUAUUGCUUUGAAUAACCAAAAGUCCAAUAAGGAACACCCAAAGGGUGAAUAGGUGAUUUAAAAAAAUUAAAUCAAUAUUUGUGAAUUACAAUCAAUUUCUCUUACCCCAAUAAAAAAUUUGAUGUUUAUCAUGGUUAGCUGAUAUCCAAAUAUUAACAAUAUAUGUUGAAGAAUAUUAGGGAUAAAUAAUAACUACAAGAAUAACCAACCUAACAAACUCAAUAACCAAUUAACCAAUCAAUCCAAUAUAUUCAAGAUAAAUAUCUUCAAAUAGAAUAUAUGCAAGAAUAAAUAUAAACUUUUUAGAAUGAUCUUACAAGAUAUUAAGUUAAAAGAAAUUAACUUAUUCUAAGCAAUUUAAACAUAAUGUGAAAUAUAAAGAGAUAGACAAUGAGGCAUAAGAUUCUUAAGUGGAAAACUCUCAUAAACUGUGGAGAUAAAAAACCACAAGGUCUAAAACCUAUCAAUCAAAAUGCACUAUUCGAAAUCAAGUCACACAGAUUUACCUGACCACUUUAUCCUAAAGACUUACUCUCCAGUACCUAUAACUUGAUCCACAUCCCCAAUGCAAUAGCUACCUGUUGCUCCCUAGUAGAUCAUUCGAUCCCUUUAAGGGAUUACAGUCUUCAACUAACAAUUCAAAAAAUCAAAUCCUUGAAUGAGAGAACAAGAAUGGUGUGGCAAAUUAGGCUUUUCUCACCAAAGAGUACCCCUAAAGAAUGAGAGGUCUCCAACAAAACUCUAAAAUCUCUAUGAUCUUACUAAUCUCCAAUCUUUAACCCUCAAAGGGUUAUAGGGGAGAUAUUUAUAGGCAAAAUUCAUAAGGAUUUCAAUAUCUUAAGUUUUCAAAUUAGAGUUUGAUUGAAAUUCAUUCAAAAUACAUUUCCCAACUAGCCAAGAUUGUCAUGACUGCUUGAGUGAACUUAGACCACUUGAGCGCUCCAACCGCUUGAGCAAGAUGAAUCGCUUAAGCGUCCCAUGCUUUUUCAAAAAUCAUUUUUUUAAAACAUUUUAAACUCAAAAAUGAUACCGAACCUUUUAUACCUCAAAUAAGUCUUUAUAUGCCACAAGUCAAACAUUUUUAGACGUGACUUUUCGGUUGGACGAACAGCAACCCUUGAUUUUUAAUGGAGAGUAAAUCACUAUCUAAAAAGACUUUUAUGGUCAAACAUAAAUUAGAACAAAAUUGUCAACAUAUAAACAAGACUCAAUAUCCUAAUAAAGAGAAAGUAAAAGAAAAUAAAAGAUGAAAGAAAAUAAAACAUAUAUUUAAAAUCAAUUAAUUAUCUAUGUAUACACUACUUCAUACUCAUUUCACUUAUUUUAACUUUUUUCCAUUUAUAUAAAAAUUAAAUAAUUUGAAAAUGUAUAAGUUUCUUACCAAUGUUAAUUUUUUUUUCUUUAAUAUUUUUCAUAAUACAAUUAAACAUGACAAAAUCAUUUUCCUCACCAUUUUUCUUCUUUCUUUAAAAUUUUUUUGUUAUGUUUGGUCCCUUGAAAAUAUAAGGGAAAACACAAGGAAAAUAAAAUAAAACGAAAAAGUGAAAGGAAAGAAAAAUAAAAAUAGAUGUCAAUUAAUUAAUUAUUUAUAUACAUUACUUCAAAUUCAUUGUACUUAUUUUAACUCUUUUAUAUAAAGAAUAAAUAAUUUUAAAAUACAUAAAUUUUUAACUAAUUUUAAUUAUAUUUAAUUUUCUUUUAUAUUUAAAAAAUUAUAUUUAUAUACAUUACUUUAGAUCCAUUGCACUUAUUUUAACUCUUUUAUAUAAAGAUUAAAUAAUUUAAAUAUACAUAAAUUUAUAACUAAUUUUACUUAUUUUUUAUUUUCUUUUAUAUUUUCCUUCUAGAAUCGAGCAUGAGUAAUUUUUUUUUUUGGUUAAUACUUUCCAAAAACUAAACAUAAUCUUUAGAGACCAAAUACAACGUUUGUGUUUGAAGUAAAUUUCUAAGACUUCCUAUAUUUUAGAUGGAAGUCACUAUUAUCUUUUAUUUUCAAAAAUAGAAAAUAGGAUGUGCAUCCAACCACAGCUAAAUUAUUAUUUUUAUUUUCAUUCAGUGUAUAAUUCAAUAAUUCUCCCAAAAUUGUUUCAUACUUAUAUCCUUUAGCGAAAAGUAUUGAGCUCAGGUUUUAAAAUAAUUAACAAAUUCAACCCUCGCUUUUCAUCUUAAAUAUACUACCUUUACCGGUGAUGUAAUUGUUAUGGAAUGAUACUCAUAACGAUAAUUUGAAAAUAGAAUAAUAAUAAAAAAAAAAUAGAGUAAUAAAUAAAAUAAUGGGUAAAAGUACUUAUAUGGUAAAACCCUCUUAAUUAAAAAGAAAAUAUCUAUGGGACAAGACAAAUAAAAAAUAUCCACUAUCAACAUAAAGUUACAACAUUUCUCUCAAUUAAGAAGAGAGAACAUAAAAGCUUAGAAAAAAAUGAAAUUUUUUUUUGGGAUGAAUAAAAUUGGCGUGGGAUGACUUCCCAUUUUUGUCAUCUUCUAACGUGGGAUGGGAUGACUUCAACUUUAACAUUUUUUUACUUGAUGUCAUUCUUCUAUGUUUUACCCUAUCACAUGCCACUUACAUCACUGUCAAACCAUAAGAGGAUUUGCACCAACUGAAUUUAUUAGUAUUAAUUAGUUUUGUUACGGAUCAGUGUUAAUUGAAUUUUUUGCUUUUAAAAGAAGAAAAUUGUUUUUUAGACUAAAGAAAAUUGUUUUUUAGCCUAAAAAAAAUAUGCUUGGUAAUUUUUCAAUAGAAAAUAACUUUUUAAGAAUAUAUUAGAUUUGUGUAGUAUGCUUUUUUCAACUUUGGUAAAUAUAUAUAUAUAUAUAUAUAUAUAUAUAUAUAUAUAUAUAUAUAUAUAUAUAUAUAUAUUUCAUUAUUUUUACGAUCAAAUAUUUCAUUCACUUUUACCAAAAUUAAAAGGAAAAGAUUAAGAGAAAAAUAUUGGUUAACAUAUCUGACCUAGGUUAUUAUAACUCCAUCUCUUUUCUACUUCUUCUCUUUCACUUAUCCUUAAUUCUACUUUUAAUGAAAAGUUAUACAUCUUUAAAUUAUUUAAUCUUUAUAUAAAAUAAUUAAAAUAAGUUCAAUAAAUUUGAAAUAAUAUAUAAAAAUAAUUUAUUAAUUUUAAAUUUUAUUUUUUAUGUUCCUUAUUUUUUUUUUCUUCUCACAUUUUUCUUUCACCUAGCUCCUAUAAUUGCAGUGUUUAAUUUAGACCCAGUAGGUGGGUGAAUGAGGUCAAAAAACAAAAACAAAAAAAAAAACUUGAAAGAAAAAGCCGGAUGCAAAUAGAAGAGGAGGCAUCCAUAUUGCUUUGGUAUAUCAACUCUUUACGUCUUCAGAAUGAAGUACAUGAAUUUGGUGGGAACUAGCGAUCAGCUCACUAACAAAAGUUAAUUGGAAUCAGAAAGAUAAAACACAUGGACACUUGUGUAUGGUGCCAAAAUGAAACACCAUUUGUACAAACGAAUCAAUAAAUUUUGAUAUUUCUUCAACAACCAUCAUUGAAAACUUGAAGUGGAAGGCUGAUAAUAAUACAUGUCAAAUCCUAAGUACAUUAUAUAAGUAUGGUCUCUAAUUAAUUUUGGGACAAUUGUGUUUUGGGCUGAUUAGGCCCAAAAAUUAACAUUUGGUCCAUAUAACUUACAUAAUUAACAGAAAGGAUGUAAGAUGUUAAGAUACCAAUAUACCCUUCAAAUUUUCAUAUAUUACCUUUUAAGGAUAUAAAAUAGUAAUGGACUAAAAUACCCAAUGACUUUUCACAUAAGCUUUUUUAAAAUUUGGAUUUUAAUGAUUUGGAUUUUAACAAUUUUCACACCACUAUUCAUGCAACCAUAAUAAUUAUAUUUUAACAAUUUGAAUUUUUCAUUGUUUUUAAAAAAAAUUUAUAUAUAAAUAAUUGAAAAUCUGCAUUAUUUUCUAUUUUAAAUUAUAAAUAAAGAAAAAUUAUGUUUAAAAAAUACUUUUAAAAAAAUGGUAAUAAGAUUUAUAUUUUUUAUAUUUUCUUUUUGAAAAAACAUUUAAUUAAAAAAUGAAAACUAUUUUUAAAAAUAAAAAUUGAAAACCUUGUUUGGUACUAUUUUUUAUAUGAAAAUAAUAAAAAGAAUUAAAUUUUAUUCAUUGAUUAUCCAUUUUAAUUUUUUUUCCAUUAGUUAUUUUAAUAAUAAUAAUAAUAAAUAUAGUAUGUUUACAAUUAAACAAAGGAAUUGGUCAAUUAUGUGUUUUUUAUGUGACUAUCUUUUACAUGAAAAAUAAUUAAAUAACUAAAUUAUAUAUUUAUUACUCUUUUUAAUUUUAUUUUCUUUAUUUAUUUUUUCUCUAAUAGAAAAUUUUAAUAUAUCCAUAAUUAACAAAGUAAUAGAUUUGAUCUAUUAAAAUAAAUGACUUUCUAAUUUAAAUAAAUAAAAUGAAAUAAGUAAAUAAAUUUGGGGUUAUUUCUAUUUUUUAACAUAUCCUAUAUUAAUNNNNNNNNNUUUUUAACAUAUCCUAUAUUAAUAUUUUUUAUGGUUAAAUAAAUUUUUUAUUAUUUUUUUCUUUAAUUCCAAAAAUAAAAUGAAAUAAAUAAAUAAAUUUGGUAUUUUCUAACUAAUCUUAUAUUCAUAUUUCUUAUGGUUAAAUAAAUUUUUUAUUCUUUUUUCUUUAUUUCCAAAAAUAAAAGGAAAUAAAUAAAUAAACUUGGUUUAAAUAAUAGUUUUUAAGUAAUUUCUUUGUCUUAUUUUUAAUUACAUUUUGCAUUGAAAAUAAAAUAAAAUAACGUUUUUUUUUAAUUAUUUUAAAUGUCAAACUAUUGGGAACAUAGUUUACACACUCAUGUAGAUAUAAUUUAUACACAUAUAUGAAAUUUGUACCAUUAUACAAGGUUAUUACACUAAUUGUAUAAGAGGUGUACAAGACUGUACAUUUUGAAUAACUUUUUUUUUUUUUUUUUGUCAUAUAAGGAUUAUACGCUCUCCUACCAUAAAUUCUUUUAUUUCAUGUACUUUAUUUAACUCGGAUAUAACAAUUCAAAUACUUACCUUAAUAAUUAUGUUUAGAGAAAAAUUUUGUUUUUACAUUUUAUAUCAUUUUUUAAAUCAAACCAUUGGAAACAUGGUUCACACAUAAUAUGUGGCACAUAAUGUAUGCAUAUGGAUGAAAUUUGCACCAUUGUAUAAGGGUGUUAUACUAACUAUACAAGGUAAAUGUUCAAUUGGACAAGACAAAUGUUCUAAUUGUACAAGACAAAUGUUCCAACUAUACAGGGGGUAUACAAGGUUAUCUUUUGUGAAAGAUUUCAAUCAAUUUUGGACAACUUUUUUUUUUUUUUUUUUUUUUUGUCUUGUCAUCUAAGGAUUGCACACUCUCAAGGUACACAUUCCUCUAUCACACACUCAUCUUAUGCACUUUAUUUAACUCGCAUAUGACAAUUCGAAUACUUAUCCCACUAAUGAUGUUUGAGAGAAAAUUUUGUUUUUUCAUUUUCCACUAUUUUUUUAACCAAACCAAUGAAAACAUGGUUAAUCUACCUAUGGUUACAUAUUGAGUAGGGGGUAUAUGGAAUUUGAGUCACUGUAUAAGGUAUUUACACUCAGUGUACAUGAUAAAUAUACUAACUGUACAAGGGUGUACAAGACUAUUAUUUGUGAAGGAUUUUAAGUGAUUCUGAAAAAACUUGUUUGUUUAUUUCUCCUAGUCGAUGAUAGAUGACAUUCCUUACACACAUUGGUUAAGCAUACAUUCAUCUCAUGCACUUUAUCUAACUUAUAUAUGGUCAUUUGAAUAGGUACUUCACUUGUGAUGAUUGUAAAACAAAAUUAUACAACAAUUUUUCUUCUUUUUUAAAACAAAACCAAUGCAAACAUGGUUAACUGACUUAUUGUCAGAUAUUCAUGAAAUGAUGUAUGAAAUUUGAGUUAUUGUACAAGGGUAUUACAAUAACUGUAUAAGACAAAUUUACUAAUUGUACAAGAGUGUACAAGACUACUUUUUAUUAAGGAUUUCAAGUGAUUUUGAAAAACUUUCCCAUUUUUUUCCACUCAAGGAUUUUUCCGCACUCAAAUUCUCUCAGUCAAUAAUUGUUUCGAAUUUUAUUUUUAAAUUUUAUCAUCAAAAUUUUGUAAUUGCAUAUUUUGUUUUUGUAGUUUUAGCAAUGUUCUUUCUUUCCACUAUUUUUUUUUUUUGUGAAAUUUUAUCAAAAUGAAUCUAUAUUUAAAAUUAUAAUCAUAUGUAUCAAUUUUUUUUACUAAAAUUAUCUUUAAUUCUUUUAAUAUAUUUAUACUCAUUUAUUUAAAAAAUGAAAAACUAAUUUUUUUUUUUUUUUGUAAACAUGUUCUAUUACCUUUCAAGUAAAAAAUUAGAUAAGUUUGAAAGUCAAUAAAAAAAAUUAAAUACCACUUUCAAUAAUUUUUAGAUAAAAUUUUAUAUAAUAUAUUUUAUUUGAAAUUUAAUUUCUAAAGUUUCACUAAAAAAUUGUAUUGACAAUUUUCUUGUUGUGAGUCAAAAUACUUUGCAUUAGUAUAUCUAGAUAAGAAAAAUUAUUAAUAUAAUAUUAGAACUUCAUAUCUUAAAUAUUAUUUUUUUUUUUUCAAUAAAUUUAUCUCUAAAAAAUUUUUAAAUAAAAACAUUAAAAAAUUUAAAAAUAUGGUUAAUGUAGAAAAUAUAAAAAAUAAUUAAAAAUAAGAGAAAAGUAUAAAUGAAAGGGUAGUAUAAAUUUAAAAUAAAAAAUGAAAAUUAAACUAAAAGAUAAAAAAAAUAUUUGGAUGAAAAAUCCCAAAAUUUUUAUCUUUGCUUAUAAUAAGAGUAAAAAGAUUCAAUAUCUUUAAAAAUAAAAAAAUAAAAAUUAUUGCUUUUUAUUUGACAUAAAAUAGAAAUAUACAUAAGAAGAAAAAAAAGUUAGAAAUGAGUAAUACUUAAUAGGGAAUAGAAAAAGGAAAAAAACAUACAAAAAAAAUUGAAAUUUACACUCACCAUGUGUCUCUGUAAGGGUUAAGGGUAUUUUAGGGAUUAAUAAAGGAUAAUAUCCAUCUUCUCAAUUUUCAAACUUUCUUUGGGUGUUGGAUUUAAUUAUGUAAGAUAUAUGGACCAGAUCUUAAUUUUUGGGCCCAAAAUACAAUUCUCCGGUUAAUUAAAGAGGACUUUAAUACUAGCUAGCUAUCUAUACUAAAAGAAAAUUGUCCCCUUGAUGUGUAGGAAGGACGUUUUGGUGUAACGUCUUCAUCAAUAAAUCAAUAAAACUGGACAUGCAAUCAAAUUUUCUUCACUCUUGAAAUUUGAAGUAAAAGGACGGUCAAUGGUGUAAGCACGUAAAAUGUUACUUCGUUUCUGUUUUUAGGUUAGAAUUUAAAUGAUGAGAUGGACAGGAUUUAAUUAGUUCUGGCAUAAAGCUUCAUUUUUUGACAAGUAGCUGGUUGUUAGGUGUUGGAAAUCACAUCUGCAUUGAUAGCAGCAGAAUUCUGAACACUACAUAUAGUCCUCACUCCUCAUUACCUCAGGAUAUGCGUUGCUUCAAGAGAAGUAGCAAAAUCAAAUAUGGCUUCUAAACCUGGAAUACUCACUGAUUGGCCAUGGACGCCUCUUGGCAACUUCAAGGUACUCCUUCUCAGUCAAUCUCAAAUCUCUUCUCUUCUCUUCUCUUUCUCUUUCUUUUUCUCUCUCUUUACUGAAGAGGGGCCUCCCUGUACAUGAUCUUUCCAUGUUUGAUUGUUGUGUGUGGAUGAACGAGCGGCAAGGGGAUGCCACGUAACAUAAAAAGUGACAAGAGACAUCUUUCAGAAGCCAAUGAUUGUUAACAAAAUCACAGUCCUAUAGAUAUAUUCAUUCUAUAAACUCAAGCAUAUUUCUAUACAUGCUUCAAGAACGAGUCAUAUUAAUAUAUUCAUUCUAUCUUAUUUAUUUAUUUUUUCACUUGUACUACUUUGUUGUUUGAUGUGGUUGAAGUACGUGGUCUUGGCACCAUGGGCGAUUCAUGCCAUACACUCGUUCCUAGUGAAAGAUGAAAAGGAGAGAGACGUUGCUCACUUUCUAAUAUUCCCAUUUCUGUUAUCGAGGAUGCUCCACAACCAGCUUUGGAUUUCACUUUCUCGCCAUCGAACAGCCAAAGGCAACAACAGGAUUGUUGACAAGGGCAUUGAAUUUGAGCAAGUUGACAGAGAAAGAAACUGGUAAACGCAUCACAUCAAUUGACCAAAAUUUAACGUCUCAAAUCAAUCCUUGUGGGAGGUCUUAGCCCAAGUUUUCUGAUGGUGUUUUGGUUUUGUAGGGAUGACCAGAUUAUUUUCAACGGGAUCAUAUUCUACAUAGCCUAUUUCAUACUUCCAGGGGCUUCUCACAUGCCCUUAUGGAGAGCAGAUGGUGUGGUUAUUACAAUUCUGCUUCAUACGGGCCCUGUGGAGUUUCUGUAUUACUGGCUUCACAGGGCUCUACACCAUCAUUAUCUCUACUCACGUUACCAUUCUCAUCACCAUUCCUCUAUCGUCACUGAGCCCAUCACCUGUAAGAAUUAAUAUUUUGCCUUUCAGCUUUAACUGCCUUUGCUUUACUUUUGGUACAUCUAAUUUUUUAUUUCACUAAAAUUAAAAUAGGAAAAAGAAAAAAAUAAAAUAAAAACUUAUAUUUCUUGCAUAUUUAAGAAGAAGGGAAAAGUAUCCUUUUAUGCAGACUUCAAAAAGGAAAAAAAAAAUGAUUCUACGUCUUGGGUGAGUUAUGAAUAUAAGAGCCUUUUUUUUUUUCUUAUCACAUAGAUGUGGAAUUUAUGAUUUUGUUGCUUAGAAUGGCAAAUGAAAAAUGUAUAUAUUUUUAAAAUGAUUUAUAAUAUUAUAUAAAAAUAAUAUAAUAUUUUCUAAAAUUAGUUAAAAUUUAAUAAUUAAAUUUUCUUUUAUUUUGAAUAUUUCAAUAUUUAAAUAUUAUAUAUAUAUAUAUAUAUAUAUAUAUAUAUAUAUAUAUAUAUAUAUAUAUAUAUAAUUUAAUAAAAUUCAAAAUAUUAAUAUAUUUAUACUUAUAUUUGAUGAUAUCAAAGAUAAAAAAUUAAUAUUAUUAAUUUUUAAUUUAUUUAUAUUUUUUAUUUUUUAUUUUAAUAAUAUAUAAAUUAUAUAUUAUGAUAUCACCUAUUUGAUCUGGUUCAACCACUUAUUUAUUUAUAAAAACAUUACUUUUGGAUUUUAUAGUAUUCAUUUAAACCAAAGAAACUAUUUCAUACUAUCUUUAAUCUAAAAAUACAUUAAAAAAAAUAAAUAAAUAAAAAUAAAAAUUUAUUAGUUGAAAUAAUUUAAAAUAUGAAAAGAUGGAUUGGCUUAUAGCAUAUAUUUUGGAAUGACUUUUUCCAAAUCAACAAAAGUCUAUCACAAAAUAGAUAGUAAAAAAGAUGACCAAAUGCAUCCUACUUGACAUUAAAGCAAACAUAAAACUACUUUAAUUGAUAUUAUGCAUGCGAGUGUCUUACAGUCAUAGAUGCGAAAAGGCUUUAAGGUUUAAGGUAUUCAUGGCCUAGAGGAAGUAAUGUGGGGUGGAUUCGGCCAUGCAGGUCAUGCAAUGCAUGGUCGGUCAGCACAAUUAUAUUAAUUAUAUUAAUUAUAUUAAUUAUAUUGUAUGGCAGCUGUCAUUCAUCCAUUUGCGGAGCAUAUAGGAUAUUUUCUGCUGUUUUCAAUACCAUUGCUGACCAUGAUCUUCACCAGAACAAGCUCUGUUGUAGCUUUUUUUGGCUAUAUCUCUUAUAUUGAUUUCAUGAACAACAUGGGGCAUUGCAACUUCGAGCUCGUGCCCAAGUGGCUCUUCUCCAUAUUUCCCUUCCUCAAGUAUCUUAUGUAUACCCCCUCGUAAGUCCCCCCCUACCAUCACUCUAUGCUUCUAUCUCUUUAAUUUAAUAUCUCUUGUUUUACAAUAUGAUGUAGACACUGGGUAGCAUUAAAUAAGGCCAUGCCUUUGAAGACAUUCAAUUAAAAAAUGUUGCAUAUUAGGGUGAUUAAAACAUUUGAAAACAUACCAUAAAAAUUAAAAAUGGUAAAAGGAGUGUAUUUAAUUGGCCAUGGACCACCCAUUGGUAGGUGUGUGGGGGACCCACGUAGCCAUAAUGAAUAUAGAGCCACGUGUUUGGCAGGUGACAACUUUUUAUUGUAACAUUGAUUGGUAUGACAACUAUUAGGUAGAAAUUAAACUCUAGUCUAUGAUUAUUUUUAACUAUUAUGAAUAAAUUAUUCCUUUUUUAAAUGGAAAGUUUUGAUUUAAGAUUGCUAAUAAUAGAUAGAUUCAAUAAAAUUAAAAAUGUUAAAAAUAAAAUAUCUGGCAAAAACAUUGGACCACCGGGGUAUUAAUUUAGAAGUGAGGCCACAUGUAACAUGAUGAAGUACUACACAAAGGUGCACCUAUCUGAUAUGACAGGAGACACCUUUUCCCAGUACAACAUUUAUUGAAAUGACCGUUGCUUAGGUAGAGCAUCCACUGUAGCUUUUUGUUUUCUUGCUUUUAUAGAAAGGUCAAGUACUAAAUUAUACGAAAAUCCAGGUCAUGGGGACCAAUUCACCAAAGUAUAUGAUCCAAAGAACUAAAUAGUAUGGGAUGUUUGGUAAUUAUUUUUUAAAACGUACGCUUUUUGAAAAUUGUUAUCUGACUUUUUUUUUAGAAUAAAAAUCGAUUUAAAAACCACAUUUCUAAUAUGUUUUUAAUAUUUUUAAAAAUAAUUUUUAUAUUUAAUAUUUUUUAAUUAUUUUAUAUGUUUAGUGAAAAUAAUAGAAAAUAAUUAAAAGGUAUUUUCUAAAAACACUUAUUUUAUAUUCUUACGAAAAUAAAAUAGAAAAUAAUUUUUGGUUCUUAAACGUAUUUUUUAUAUUUUUUGUACUAAAAAUUAAAAAAUUGUUUUAAAAAACAAUUUCUAAAUAGGCCUUAUAUCACAAAUAAAUAAAGUUUAAAUACAAAACAAUAAAAUUGAUAAUGUCUUUCCAAUUACCUAUUAAAUAAAUAGCUCUCGUAUUAUAAUAGAACCCAUAAAGUCUAAAAAUUAUUCAUUUUAAUUUAUUACUAAAAAUUAAAUAAACACAAAAUAAAAAUAUAAAAAUAAUGAUAAGAUAUUUGUAAUUGGAUUGGAGAACUAUUGUUAAGCAUUUUUACUUAUGAUUUAAAAAUAAAAUAAAUUUUACACAUCAAUAUGUACUAUUUUAUUCAAAAGAAAAAGAAAAAAAAUUAGAAUUAAAAUUGUAACAAAUUGAUCACCUAAAAAUAAGUAUUCCAAAUAUUUGAAUAACAAAGUUAUAGAGGUAUAGUGUAUCAUAUAAUUUUUAUGAAAUAAAUUAAUUAGGAAGUGUGUUAUAUAAACGAAAGAACCAAUAAAAAAUAGUAUUAAUAUUUUUUAUAUUUUUAUGUUUUGUUUUGCUUUAAUUACAUCAUUAAAAGUUACUUAUAUUAAAAAGGCACUUACAUGAUAGAAAAAAGAAAAAGAAAAAAGAGAAAGAAAUAUAGUAAUAUACAUAUAAAUAUUUCUUUUGAUCCAAUCCCAACUUGUAAUAAGAGUGAGUCCAUAAAAAAUAGAAUAAAAUAAUUAAAAGGGAUUAAGUAAUCCUUAAUUUGUGAAUCUAACAUCUUCCAUGUUUUUGACUUGAAAGUAAUAUAAUUUUUUUUAAACAUAAAUAUCAUUCACUGUUACGAGUAUUUUUAUGUAAGUUUUAAAAGAAAUUGUUAUUUUUACAUGAAAAAAAAAAUAGAGAAUAUUCUUGUCAAAAAGAGAAAAAAUGGAGGAUUAAAUUUCUAAAUUUGGGUUUCUAAUCAAAUAAUUUUUUAAAAAAAAAUGACAUUCUAGUUUUUUCAAUACUAGUUAGAAAGCAUAUAUAUAGUUCAUGAUGAUAAAUGAUUUUAACUCCUUCAAAAUUUUCAGGUUUCACUCUUUGCAUCACACCCAAUUUCGAACCAAUUACUCACUCUUCAUGCCAUUCUACGACUUCAUGUAUGGUACUAUGGACAAAUCUUCAGAUGUGUUAUAUGAAAAAUCACUUACAAGGCCUGAAGAAUCGCCUGAUGUAGUGCAUCUCACCCAUCUCACAACGCCAAACUCCAUUUAUCAUAUAAGGCUAGGUUUUGCCUCUGUGGCCUCCAAGCCAUACAUCUCCAAAUGGUACUUG
rnacentral:lncRNA from 1 species